AGCGAACGCUGGCGGCAGGCCUAACACAUGCAAGUCGAGCGCCCGUAGCAAUACGGGAGCGGCAGACGGGAGAGUAACACGUGGGAACGUACCCUUUGGUUCGGAACAACCCAGGGAAACUUGGGCUAAUACCGGAUAAGUCCGUAAGGAGAAAGAUUUAUCGCCAAAGGAUCGGCCCGCGUCUGAUUAGCUUGUUGGUGAGGUAACGGCUCACCAAGGCUACGAUCAGUAGCUGGUCUGAGAGGAUGAUCAGCCUCACUGGGACUGAGACACGGCC
rnacentral:rRNA from 1 species